AGACGAACGCUGGCGGCGCGCUUAAGCAUGCAAGUCGAACGGCAAGAGGUAGCAAUACCUCCUAGAGUGGCGGACUGGUGAGUAACACGUGGGUGACAUACCCUUCAGAUGGGGAUAGCUAUUAGAAAUAGUAGAUAAUACCGAAUACGAGCACAGGGGUUAGAGAUCUGUGAGGAAAGGAGCUAAGGCUCCGCUGAAGGAAUGGCCUGCGGCCCAUUAGCUAGUUGGUGAGGUAAGAGCCCACCAAGGCGAUGAUGGGUAUCCGGCCUUAGAGGGUGAACGGACACAUUGGGACUGAGAUACGGCCCAGACUCCUACGGGAGGCAGCAGCUAAGAAUCUUCCGCAAUGGGCGAAAGCCUGACGGAGCGAACCGCCGCGUGAACGAAGAAGGCCGUGAGGUUGUAAAGUUCUUUUCGGGAGGGGGAACAACCGUGGCAGGGAAUGGCCGCGGGAUGACGUGAAUCCCGGAAUAAGCCCCGGCUAACUACGUGCCAGCCGCAGC
rnacentral:rRNA from 1 species